GAUGAACGCUGGCGGCGUGCCUAAUACAUGCAAGUCGAGCGAACGGACGAGAAGCUUGCUUCUCUGAUGUUAGCGGCGGACGGGUGAGUAACACGUGGAUAACCUACCUAUAAGACUGGGAUAACUUCGGGAAACCGGAGCUAAUACCGGAUAAUAUUUUGAACCGCAUGGUUCAAAAGUGAAAGACGGUCUUGCUGUCACUUAUAGAUGGAUCCGCGCUGCAUUAGCUAGUUGGUAAGGUAACGGCUUACAAAGGCAACGAUGCAUAGCCGACCUGAGAGGGUGAUCGGACACACAGAAACUGAGAACAGGUCCCAGCUCACCGGGGGGGGAGGAGGAGGGAAUUUCCGGCACUGGGCGAAACCUGGAAGGGGACAACCCGGGUGAGGGUAGAAGGUCUUCGGAGCGAAAAAUCCUUUUUUUAGGGAAAAAAAAAUGUUUAAUUAACGGUGAAAAUUUGGAAGGGAACUAAGAAACAAGCAACGGCCAACUGCCU
rnacentral:rRNA from 1 species